CAGAUUCUACUCUUCUUUCUUAGUACAAGCAAUUUUGAAUUAAGAACAAACAAUGAAAAUAUCUCUCUUGAAGAAAAUUUUGAAAUCAUAGACAUGCUGAUACUGUUCUCUUGCUUUUCCUGUUGUGGCGCUGGAUGAUGCAAUGGAGAAAAAAGUUGUGUUGUGUACUAUAUCAAAAAACCUAAGGGUUGUCAGAUCUAAACGUCAGACCCAAAACUCUCCAAAGUCAUUUCUUUUAUAACCAGGAUUGCUUGUUCCCAGUUUUUGUUCCCAGCUUGAAUGAAACAAAGUACUCUAAGUAUAUCCCUAUAUAAAGGAAUUCCCAUCCAUUGACACCAGAAAGGCAAUAUUAUUAUCAUAUCUCCGUUCAGAAUAAGUUCUGCUUUGGACCCUCAGAUCCACAAUGAAGUCCUUCCGAUGUGUGUUUAUAUCGAGCAAAAGAUCAG
rnacentral:lncRNA from 1 species